rnacentral:lncRNA from 1 species
AUCCACCACCCUUCACAAGCAAUCACUCAAACACAUAUAGGCCAACGUCAGGCCUACACUAACAAAAUACACAUCAAGCCUAAUCCGGUACCUAAGCCAGACUUAGGACUUAAUGUCAGAACCUGCAAGCAAAAUCAAUCAACCACAAACACAAUCAUAAGACUAUGAAUAUCUACGACUCGAUCUAACUCGUAACACCGUAUAUCGGUGCUACACUAACUCGAGGGUUCUAUAACCCUCUACGACACACUAACACAACACUCUAACCUGGGCCCUGGUGACUUAGUGUUCCUCCUCCCUAUCGGCAAUAUCCUAUCUUCCUACCACAAAGGCCGGAAGAAGGAACUUUCAACCGACCGCGGCCCACAGUCAUUCGGGUCACCGCGCGACAGCCCACAGUCCUUCGGGUCACUGUCCCAUUACACCGUCGUGUAAUACUCAGCCAUAGUACAUGACACCGUUCGUCUGAGUCUUCCCGAUCCAGCGAAUAAGGGGUUUCCUUGAACCCGCUGGGUACGAGGCCGAGGAAACACUAAUCAACCCCAAACAAGCCUAAUAUGGGCGGGUUACGCACAUACUGCCGGCACACUCACACAACACAAACUCAAUCUAGAACCUAACAUAAUGAUAAAGUUCUAGACACUAACCAGACACUUAACUCUACAACACAAACCAAUAGUACCAGUAGUCCGACCUAUAUGGCCAAAGACCCUUAGUACUAACUACUAAACAAUAAUAUCAAUACUAAACAAUAUAAUCAAACCGUUACCCAGAUAGUCCAGCCUCCCGCUGAGAAACUAUCUUUAAAGAUAACGGGAACCUGCACUGAACAAUAUCAACACGCAAGAAUAGAAAACAUGAUGCAUCCUAGCCCUAGCCCUAGUCAGGUUAUUAACUCAGUCUUAAUUCCAUUCAUCUCAGCUUAGCCCUUGCUAAACUGAGUCCGGUUCCAUAAAUAAAAUAACCCUAAGGACUCUACCAUUCAAUAGCGUGAUAAUUCUAAUCUAUAUGCAGACUCGAUCUACCCUAAAUUCCAAGUGGAAUUCAAACAAACCAACUCACAAAACUAUCCUAAAUUCCAAGUGGAAUUCAAACAAACCAACUCACAAAACUACCCUAAAUUCCAAGUGGAAUUCACACAAGCCAACUCACAGUGUUCUAGGCGAGAAGCUGCUGGUUGAUCGGAGAGGACUUGGCCAAAACCCAAGGGACGCCUUGACUGGACUGGACUGGACUGAUCUUGACUUGUACAGAACCUCCCCUGAUACUGGUCUGGACUGAACUCAAAUCGAACAGCACCUUCCUUAGCUUCUGAACAAUUCUUCCGAAAUCUGAACAGAGUAUCGAACCAUAACCUCAACUGAACUGAUACCAUGGAACUGAAAUGAUCUUGGACAGCACCUCCACUUGAUCAUCAAAGAAUAUGAGUAGAGUGGACAGAUUGACUUGGGCAGAGCUUCCGCAUAACAAUUUGCAGAAAUUCUUCGAUUGGACAGAACUUCGCUUCUUGGUGAAGUAUCGAUCUUCGGAACUCAGCUACACUCUCUUUCUCUCUUUCUCUCUAACCACGUUGACUUGCUUCCCAUCUGAAUCGAUAUUAAAUUGGUUGAUCUUAAGUUGGCCAGAACCUUCCCUAGGCGCUGACUUGAAAUCAGUAGAAUAAUUGUUCUCGAAAACUGCCGAAAAGACUCGAAAACGAUCGAAACUCGAACUUUCUUUCUCUAGCUUUCUCUCUCACGUUUUUCUCUGAGUUUCAGGUGUUCUGGAUGGUUUGAAAUGAGCUGGGGUCGUGGGGUAUUUAUAGGAUACACCAGCCAAUCAGUUUCAGGUUGGUGGCAGCCCGUGUGUCGCUCCGCAUGGCUCCGGACGCAUGCACGGCGACACCUCGUGCUCCACUUGGCUGGCUGCAUGUCCAGGACACAUGCAGGACGCCACCACUCCUCCCAGAUAUCAGGCUGCAUGACUGGAGCUCAUGCAAGGCGCCACACAUCCUCACACAUGUCGAUCAGCAUUCUUCGGUUGCAUGCGUUGCGACAUCUCGUGCUUGGCCGAUCCACCUCGUGCUUCUACAUGUCAAGCUGCAUGUGCAGCUUCCAUGCACGUAUACACCUCCUCCUUGUGUUGACACUCAGCUGCUGAUGUGAUAGACAGAACGUCCUGGUCAAAUGCAUAGAGACACCUCGAGCUUCUUGGUCGGUAUAUGCGAUUUUUGACCCUUCCGGCAUAUUUUCAUCCCGCGAACAAUCCCGAAUAUUUUUCCGCUCCCGUUCUGAUGAGCUAAUUAUUCUUCAGAGACUCCAAAAUAUUUCUGACCUUGAUGAAAAAUAUUUCCUGAGCCUCCGGCCUCCUCGAAGAAUUUCGUAAUACCGAAAUUAGGGUUUUCGCCCAACUUCGGGUUUUCCCGUCGUGCUUCAAUCCCGUCGUGCUUGCUUCCCGUCCUGCUUAAUUCCCGUCCUGCUUCCGACUUAUAAUGUCUUCAGAAUAAUAGUUUACUGAUACGAAGAUAUUCCGAGAAAACUUCGCGAUGAAGAAACGUCAAUCUUCAAAAACGUCGAGCUUCUAAACCGUCGUGCUUCCAAAAAUGUGAUUCUUCCAAAAUCUUCGUCUGAUCAAUCUAAGACUCUUCUAAGAAAGGUAGAGCAGCUUAAUAUGUCUCAUGGUUCACUCACGAUCCACUGUCCUUUUGGAGCAUUUUGCGGAGAACACUCAAGACGAACAGUCCCGAGACUGUUCUCAAGCAGAACAAGCAGACGGAGUGAUCCCGAGGUUGUUCCCGACAGAUAAGGAAGCUUCUAUUUUCGGGAAUUAAGGCCUUGUUGCCCUAAUUUCUUUUCUACCUAUUGGCGCCUCCAUAUAAAGACGCCACCUAUCCUAUUUUAUUUCUUACGCUAGUUUUUACAAGAGAACUAUUAGCUUUUGCGAUCUGCAACUUGUAAGGGAGAAGAAUCCAUUCUCUCAUAGAGAAGACCAUCUGAACCUUGUUUACUACUCUUAUUAUUAUGCAGUUUCAUUCAGUAUCUAUGUCUUUGAUUGCUUGCAUCAUGAUUGAGUAGUGAUCUAGCUCGCCUAGGGUUUUUAGGGUGUUGAAAUAUGAGCUAAACAUAGAUAAGCUAUUCUUGAUUAUUCUUCAUCCAUACUAUUCUUAAGGCUUCCAUUAACCUGAUCACUUGAUGUUAGAUCCUAAGUUUAUCGCCUAGCUAACCGCUUAGGAGAAAGCUUGACAUGUAUUGGAUGAGCUUAGUAUCCCUAAUCAGCGAAAGUAGAUAUUAGGGUAGUAAGUGAACUGAUCGGACCUGACCUCUAAGGCUUGCAGUCGUUUCUCAUCUCAACGACAGUUAGAUGAUGGGAUCGACCAGCAAAGAGAUCACCACCACGACAGUGGGGUGUUCCAGCUGAGUGAUCCGAGUUCUAGAAAGUACUGCACCGCGCUUGAAUAAUUGUUUGGCACUCGCUCAACACCCAAUGAAAUACCCUAGGUUAGCUUCCUGUUAAAUUGAAUCAAUCUCUAGUUUACUUGUUUUUCGCGUCACCAAUUGAAUUGAAAACCAUUUUCUUCUUAGCUUGAUAUUGAAAUUUAUAAGAGUAAAGUGUAGACUGGUCCUCUGGAUUGAAUCUAAAAGUACUAUAAUCACAACUGUUAACUUGGCAGUAGCAAAGAUUCAUAUUUAGUGUAUCAAGUUUUGGCGCCGUUGCCGGGGACCAGAUUUUUUUUACCUCUACUUUUCGGUUUCAUUUUAAGUCUAAGAUAUCUAACUCGCCUCUGUUUCUUGUUACAGCUAAUGAUCCAGGUGCAUGACCAGUAGACAUACUCGGAGCAAUGCACAAGGACCAUUGCAUCAGCUCACCAACGAAGAACUAGCGAGAUUAGAACGUCAGAACCGUCAACUGCCUAGACCUACAAGCACCAACAUGGGUGAUCAUCAGGAUGAUCUUACUGCUGCAUUUGCACUCAUGCAACAACAGAUGCAGCAGAUGCAGCAAACUAUCCAAGCGAACGCUGCAAACCAACGGAAUGCACCGGAGGAAGUUGAUCAGAUUGGCCAAAGGAAUCUAUUGCGUAAUCUACCUGCUACACGAUCCGCCAUCAACCCUCCACCUUGCACUAGACAAGACUUUGAGAUCAAGCUCGCCUUGAUAGGUCUGGUGCAGAGGAAGAUCUUCAACGGACUUCCUGCAGAAAUACCGAUGGACCACACUGAAAACUUUGAGAAGAUGUGUGGGUUCACUAAGGCGAAUGGAGUACCACCAGAUUACAUCAAGUGUACCUUGUUCCCUUUCUCUCUCGAUGGGAAGGCUGCUCGCUGGCUAGAUUCCCUACCAACUGGAUCGCUCACCACAUGGGAACAAGUCAGAUCUGCUUUCUUGAGCCACUUCUACACAAAAUCAAAGACGGCAGCUCUGAGACAGAAGAUCGCCACCUUUAAACAGCUGGUAGAUGAGCCGUUCUGCGACGCAUGGGAGCGAUUCAACGUCUACCGUAGGGAGUGCCCACAUCACGGUUUUGAAGAAGAUUAUCUACUCGGAGUUUUCUACGAUGGAGUAGGUUGGGAGUACAGGAAUGCUUUAAACUCAGCCAGUAAUGGAGAUUUCAUGACCCAAUCCACUCAAGGCGCUUUCGCGUUAAUUGAGAACAUGGCCUCAAGCUCAGCUGACAGCAACCGAGAGACUGACCGCACCCAAAAGGUGAACAGCAUCGACAAUAACAAAAUAGAUGAGCUCUCCGCCAAGGUCGAUCAGCUGAUUAAGAGUAAUCAGAACCAUGUCUUCAUCAUGGAAGAGACUCCUCAGGAUAAAGGAACCACAGACACUACAUCAGAAGCGGACCAGGCGACUGAGGACCACCAUGAGGUUAGCUAUGUGAAUGGGCAAGGAUGGCAGUUUAAGAACUAUCACCCGAACCCUAACGUGAGGAACAACCCCCACCUGUUCAACAACCCUAAACCCGAUGGUAACGCAGAAAAUGCUCAAGGCAAUCAGGUUCAGAACAGUGGCUACCAACGGGGGUAUGGAAAUCAAGGAAGAACCUUUGUCCUCAGCCCAGCUCAGAAUACUCAGUUCCACAACCAGAAACAACCGACUAACCAGCAGCCUGCACAGCCUGCUCAAACUGCUCCACAGGACGAGAUGAAGAGUCUCGCCAUUAUGAUGAGCCAGCUGCUCCAAGGACAGCAGAUUCAGGGAAAAGCACUGAAUCAGGUCACAAACGACAUCAAUACCCGAAUGAAUCACAUGUUCAAUGACCUGAGUGCCAAAUAUGAUAAUGUCUCGAGCCAUAUGAGGCAGAUGGAUAUUCAGAUUGCUCAGACUGUUGAGAGUGUGAAGAGACAGCAAGGCACUAUUCCUGGAAAAACAGAUAAAAAUCCCAAGGAGUGUAAUGCAGUCGCGCUUAGGAGUGGGAAGCAGUUAACUGAUCUGGCACCCAAGAGAUUCACAACAGCUGAAAAGGGGAAGCAGAAAGAAUCAGAACAGCCACCUGUAACCGCACCAGCAGACGAGGAAGAAGCAGAGCUUCCUGCUAAACAUACUCCGACCACUACAGAGCAGCCUACUGUGGUUGUUCGCCCAGCGGCAGAACCUGUUCCCACCCGUGACUAUGUGCCUAAGGUUCCGUACCCUGUUCCUUCUAAGGCCACACGCAAGGACAAGGAGGAGAUGAAAUGUAGGAAGAUGCUGGAAGACUUAACAAUCAGACUCCCUCUCAUGAGUGCAAUCCAGAUGAUGCCAUCCAUGAGUAGCUUUGUGAAAGGACUGAUUUCUGGAAAGAUAACCGAUGACAGUGAGUUCAUGGUGGUCUCUAAAGAGUGCAGCGCUGUUCUCCAGAACAAAAGGAUCAAGAAGCUGGGUGAUCCUGGAAAAUUUGUCCUAUCCAUCCAAAUAGGGAGAACAGUCUUCUCGUGUUCGCUAGUCGAUCUGGGAUCAAGCAUCAACCUCAUGCCAUACUCUGUGGCUAAGCGCCUUGGAUUCACGGAUUUCAAACCUACCAGGAUGUCCCUAGUGUUUGCUGAUCGAUCAGUGAAAUCUCCAGUCGGAAUUAUCGAGGAUAUCCAAGUUCUGGUUGGGAACACACUUGUCCCUGCCGAUUUCGAUGUUCUGGAACUCGAAGAAGAAUCAAAGGAUCCUCUGAUCCUAGGCAGACCAUUCCUAUGCACUGUCGGAGCUAUCAUAGAUGUGCGACAAGGAAAAAUCAAUCUCCACCUAGGAGACAUUGUGAUGAGGUUCGAGAUGAAUCAGAUGCUCAAGAAACCUAUGCUGGAUGGACAAACCUUCACUGUCCAAGAGGAGGGUGAUCCGCUGGAACCGAGUGACCAGAUGAUUGAGGAGAUCCUUAUAGAUGAUCCGCUGGAACUAGCCUUGACUAGAGCUGAAGCAGAACAGAAUGUCCAGAACAUCGAUGCUGAUGGGUACGCUAAGAUGUUGGACUCCGCCAGAACCAUGGAAAGAUUAGUGGCAUAUCUCAGUCUGGGGGAGAACAAUGCCUCAGACUCAUCAAGCUCGCCUGUUCCACCAAGUAGGAACAAUGACCCGUGGAGUGAAUCCAAAGCUCCAAAAGUUGAGCUCAAAACACUCCCUAAGGGGCUCAGGUACGCAUUUCUUGGACCAAAUUUUACAUACCCAGUAAUCGUAAAUGCUGAUCUGAACAAUGCUGAAACUGCUCUUCUCUUAUGCGAACUUAGGAAAUAUCGAAAGGCAUUAGGAUAUUCUCUAGCUGAUAUACCUGGCAUUUCACCUGAUCUGUGCAUGCAUAGAAUACAUAUAGAAGAUGAAUCAAUGACUUCUGUAGAACAUCAGAGGAGGUUAAACCCAAAUCUGAAAGAUGUUGUAAAGAAAGAGAUAAUGAAACUUCUAGAAGCUGGUGUAAUUUAUGCGAUCUCUGAUAGUAAGUGGGUUAGUCAUGUUCAUGUAGUGCCUAAGAAAGGAGGGAUCACUGUUAUAACAAAUGAAAAGAAUGAAUUAAUCCCUACUAGAACAAUAACUGGUCAUCGCAUGUGCAUUGAUUUCCGUAAAUUGAAUGCUGCGACUCGCAAGGAUCACUUUCCACUCCCCUUCAUUGAUCAAAUGCUUGAAAGAUUGGCUAACCACCCUUACUAUUGCUUUUUAGAUGGUUAUUCAGGUUUCUUUCAGAUUCCCAUCCACCCAGACGAUCAAGAAAAGACGACGUUCACAUGUCCUUACGGAACAUACGCCUACAGGAGAAUGCCUUUCGGGCUGUGCAAUGCUCUAGCGACCUUUCAACGCUGCAUGAUGUCAAUUUUCACUGAUCUAAUUGAAGACAUAAUGGAAGUUUUCAUGGACGAUUUCAGCGUCUAUGGGAGCUCCUUUAGUGUCUGUUUGUCAAACUUGUGCAGGGUUCUGAAGCGAUGCGAGGAGAAGCAUCUCGUGCUGAAUUGGGAAAAAUGCCAUUUCAUGGUCAGAGAUGGAAUUGUUUUAGGACAUAAGAUUUCAGAAAAAGGCAUCGAAGUGGACAAGGCAAAGAUCGAUAUCAUGAUGAGUCUGCAACCCCCAACUUCAGUGAGGAGAAUAAAAAGUUUUUUGGGACAUGCUGGUUUUUACAGAAGAUUCAUCCAGGACUUCUCAAGAAUCGCAAGACCACUCACUAGACUGCUCUGCAAGGAAACAAAGUUCGAUUUCGACAACGAGUGCUUAGCUUCAUUUCACACGAUCAAGGGAGCUCUAGUCAGUGCACCGGUUGUCCAACCCCCAGAUUGCGACCUCCCUUUCGAGAUCAUGACGGACCCGAGUGACUUUGCAGUGGGAGCAGUGCUUCGACAGCGGAAGGAUAAAAAGCUCCAUGUGAUCUACUACGCGAGCAAGACACUAGAUGAAGCUCAAUGUAGGUAUGCUACCACAGAGAAGGAACUCCUGGCCAUCGUCUAUGCUUUUGAGAAGUUCCGAUCAUAUCUAGUUGGGUCUAAGGUGAUAGUCCACACGGAUCAUGCAGCUCUCAAGUACCUGCUCACGAAAAAAGAUGCCAAACCGCGACUCCUGAGAUGGAUUCUCCUCCUUCAGGAAUUUGACCUGGAAAUAAGAGACAAGAAGGGGGUAGAAAAUGGAGUAGCGGACCACCUUUCCAGAAUGAAAAUAAACGAUGAUACAGUGAUUGACGAAGAACAAACAGUGGAACACGUCAGUGCAAUUGGUCUUUGCUACGCGGAACAACCAAUGCGCAUAGAAACAGCUUGUCCUUCGCAACCAGAGCAGUUUGUGGCAGCAAUCCAGAAGCAAUAUCCUGAUCUACCGUGGUUUGCUGAGAUUGCAAAUUUCUUAGCUGCUGAAAAGGAGCCUCAGAAGUUCACGGGGAACGAGAAGAGGAAAUUCUUAAGAGAGGCAAGGCACUACUUCUGGGAUGAGCCUUAUCUAUACCGACAAUGCAAGGAUGGGAUCUUUAGACGAUGCGUUCCGGAGGCUGAAAUUCCAGGGAUCCUACACCACUGCCACGGAUCUUCCUACGCUGGACACUUCGCCACAUUCAAAACAGUCUCCAAAAUUCUCCAAGCGGGAUUCUGGUGGCCAACAAUGUUCAGAGAUGCUCACGCUUUCAUAUCCAGAUGCAAUGCAUGCCAGCGAAUGGGCAGUAUGAGCAAAAGGAAUGAGAUGCCUCAGAACUACAUAUUGGAAGUUGAGGUGUUCGACUGCUGGGGAAUAGAUUUUAUGGGACCUUUCCCACCUUCUCACAAGAACGAGUACAUCCUGGUUGCAGUCGACUAUGUCUCUAAGUGGGUAGAAGCAAUUGCUAGUCCGACCAACGACGCACGAGUUGUAACCAAGAUGUUCACCUCCAUCAUCUUUCCAAGAUUUGGAGUACCUAGAGUGGUUAUCAGCGAUGGUGGAACUCACUUCAUCAACAGAGUGUUCCAAGGAUUACUGAGCAAGAACGGCAUGAAACACAAGGUUGCAACCGCCUAUCAUCCCCAAACGAGUGGCCAAGUGGAAAUUUCCAACAGAGAGAUCAAGAACAUUCUGCAGAAAACAGUCAAUACCACGCGUAAGGAUUGGUCCAUCAAGCUUGACGACGCUCUCUGGGCUUACAGAACAGCCUAAAGGAUUGGUCGCUCAAGCUAGACAACGCUCUCUGGGCCUACAGAACAGCCUAUAAAACCCCAUUAGGGACAACUCCCUAUCAUCUGGUCUACGGCAAGGCAUGUCACCUACCUGUGGAGCUAGAGUAUAAGGCAGCUUGGGCUGUUAAGCUGCUUAACUUCGAUAUCAAACCUGCUAAGGAGAGGCGAACAAUUCAGAUCCAUGAGUUGGAGGAGAUUAGGCAUCUGGCCUAUGAGAGUUCCAAAAUCUACAAAGAAAAAACCAAGGCAUUCCAUGACAAACGGAUCAUCAGCAGAAGCUUUGCUCCGAAUGAUCAGGUCUUACUCUUCAACUCAAGGAUUAAGCUAUUCCCUGGAAAGCUAAAAUCCAGAUGGUCAGGACCUUUCACCAUCAAGGAGGUUCGCCCCUAUGGAGCUGUUGUGUUGCUGGACACAAGAGGAGGAGAAUUUGUUGUUAAUGGGCAGCGCCUCAAGCCUUACCUUGCUGAUACAACAAUCGCUGAAGGUGUAGAAAUACCCUUAAGUGAUCCCCUUCAAGCCUAAUCGGCUCACAAAAGUGAAGCUAGUGACUGAAAAGAAGCGCUUGGUGGGAGGCAACCCACUGGUGAGUGUAAAUAUUUCUUUUAUUUCUAAAAAAAAAAAACAAAAACUAACUUGCAGGAAGAAAAUCAUGAAAAUCGAGCACUUCUCAGCAGAACACUCCGGCGCUUGUUCCACUGAUUGUUCCCAGGUAAGUGCUCGAACAAAAAAAAGAAGAGAAAAUGGGAAAUGGCCUAUUUAAGGCCCACUAACUUUACCCUCCCUCCCCAUUAUCUCUAGAGCCGCAAACUAACCUCAAAGAACCCUAAAUCGAAAACUCUCAUUUCGUAUUCUUCUUCAUCGAUUUUGCUCUAAUCUCUUGGAUCCUCUCGAGAUCGGUUUGGUUUUGCAGGAAUCACCUAUCCAAUCAAGGUAACCGCUCAGAUCCCCUUCCCCUUCGCGCAUCAAAAACGCGGUUUGGAAGUGUCUCCUCGAAUCCUCGUUACCUUUUGCUUAGCGAUUUGAUCUUAGAUUGUAGCUAUAGAUUUCACACUUGCUACUAAGGUCUAAUUUGUGCUUGAUUAAACGGAAUAGGAACAUAUUUGUUGAUUGCGGUUCUUGAGUAAUUGCGAUUGUGUUAGAACAAAAUGUUAAACCUAAGCGGUUGUAGGUUGUUUAGGAAUUGAUGGACUUGGGCAGAAUUGAGAGAUUGGAAUGUCCCAUCGUUUCUGAACAGCCGUAGAGCAUGGCUAAUUUGGAAAUUGAUUUUGUUUUGCAGAUGCCUCCAAGAACAAGGAACCCUAAAGCACUCAAGGCCUCUCGUGGAGCAGCCACGCCUUCUCGCUCCGCGAACGUUACAUCCUCCUACCCAUGGCCGAACAAGGCUGAGGGUCAACCGAUCAACAUCAAUGACCCACUACUCCUUGACUACAAUUGUGAGGGGUGGGACAAGGAGUCCGCAGCAAGAUACAACAGGCUUCUCGCAGCAGAGAUCCUGCCCACACGAUUUGCUCACGCGGAGACCUUAGCUGUUCUCGGUCUCGAGUCUGAUGUGUUCGAGACGCUCGACGUCAUGGGCCUCGCUCCUCUCUGCUACCAAGCCCAAGUUCUCUAUCCAGAUUUGGUUCGGCAAGUGCUAGCAACAGCUCAGAUUACUUACCAGAACCCAACUGCGCCAACGUACGGGAACUGCUACUUCUCCUUCAUGGCUGACGGCAAGUUCUGCUCCAUCUCUCUCCACGAUCUAAACGAACUACUCGAGAUCGCAGACACGCCAAGAGAGGUCUUAGUUGACAAAAAGUUCGCGCCAGCAAACGCCUUUUGGGAUCUCAUUGCGACAGGAAAGUUCACUUCUCGCAAGGCUUAUCAAUCACAAAUCCGAAACCCCACUCUGCGUAUCAUUGCCAAGAUCGUCUCGAACAUCCUAUUCGCAAAGGAACUCACCUCCAAGGUAACAAACGGAGAGCUGCAGGUUCUAUACACCGGGCUCGAGGAUGAGAUCCGUAGAGACAGAGUCAUACCGAUACAGACUGUGAAAACAAACCCUGGAUUCCUUCUCAUCUCGAUGCUCUCUGAGCGCAAGGAUUCCAUGGUCCGAACAGAAGACAAGAAAGACCGCUGCGGCAGUGUUCUCACACCCUUGUUCAAACGCUUCAACAUCGACAUGGAUUCCUACACGGUUGUUCCUGAGCUUGAGUACAUUGACACCGCUUACUUGAUCACAUGCCACAUCCUGCGCGACGAAAGCACAUACAAGUUCGCAGACAAGGACGGGAACACUCUCUACUGCAAGCUCCCUCUUCCAGGGUUAACAGACUUCACAACCUUGGAAAACAUAGUGUUUUUGCCCAACGCAGAACACUUGUGCGACGACCCGUGCGCCAAUUCCAGAUGAGAAUGCGGCCAAGGAUGAUGUGGAGGACAUGGCUCCACCUGCUGAUGGUGCUUACGACCUAGAGGACCUCACGGAUGUUACUGAUGACCACGCCUACAGACGUUGGAUGGUGGACUCUCAGAAGAAAAACAACAGCCUCAUGAAGAGGAUCCUCAGAGCACUCACUGGAGGCUGCAUCAGAAGUCAGGAUGAGCAGACGACGCAAGGAACAAGGCGCCCAGGCAAAGAACCAGCGGGCACUUCAACUAGAGAAGAGAGACUUCCGAGGAACCAGAGAACAGCCGGCCACUCCAGCAGCGGCGAUUCAGACUGAGUCCGAACGGACUAUUCCUAUUCCCUUGUUUUAUCCAUCUGAACUAUUUAUUUCCCUGCUAUUUGUUUUCGGUUUGGUGUGUUUUAGCCUCCUCCGAUUUAUUUUCACAACCAGGGAUGGUGUGAAGUAAGUCUGGGGGAGAAACUCUGUACGAUUUCCAUGUUUUUAUUGAGUCAGCCCCUAGGAUUGAGUCAGUCCAGUCAAACUUAUUGUGGUAAUCAGGACCUUAUUUUGUGAUGAUUUCUUAACCACCUCGUGCUUUAACCUUCUUAUUCAGUGACCUUAGCAGUGAUGAAAGACCCACACAUGGACCUGGAACACCCUGACUUAUCUCAUUUGACACUCCAGAAGUUCUCCACCGAUCAGGUUACACUGGGUAGACUCAACUCCACUAUAUCUGAACCUAAUCUGGACUUUAAUUCUUCUUGUUAUGGGUACUAGAUCAGGGAAACGAGACCUAUACUCAGGACUUCUUAUCCUUUAUAUCCAUCUUGCUGUUCCUGAGUAGCUAGCUCAUCUUUAGCUAGUUCCCACCUUGUACCUUAGCCUUCAUUCCAACUUCAGGCAUUUGUUUUUCAGUGUUAUAUGUGCAGAUAUGUGCAAAAAGGUUGGAGAGGAAAGGAUCAACGCAGCCUCUUACUCGUUACUGCUGCAGAAAUUCAAUCAGAAAGGAGAACAAGCAGAUCAAGAGACCAACUGCUCCAUGACCAAUGAAUCGUGCAAUUAUAGCAGAAUGAUGCGAAUCAGAUCCACCAGUGGCCUCCUUAAAAUCACAUGUUACCUCCUUCUUCGUCACCUCAUCUCUAUUUUCAUGCUAUGCAAAAAAAAAAAAAAAAUACCUUUCAUUUUUAGCAUUUGACGAUGGAGAAGGAGAUGAGUUCAAAGGAACAUGAGCCACUGGGAAAGUCAAGAAAAAAGUUUAGGCUAAUUUUCGGAGAACAUAGAAGGGGGCGAGCAGAGCUGUUCCAGAACAGAGAGCAGCCGUUCGAGAGAGAGCAAAAAACGAGUAGACGCUGUGGACAUCAAUGGAUCCGUUCUCUCUUGCCAUUUUGUGCGAUAUCCUGCAUCCUCUAAAAAAUCGGUAACCCCUAAACACUCUUAACUCCACCAUUAAAAAGCCUGUUCCAUACCUAGACCGUCCACCCUGAGUAGCGCCCAUGACAAGAAGCUCACGAAAAUUCUAAUUGAACAAAUGGAGUUUGGUCUCGAAAGUGUCGCUUUUUCAGGUCAAGAUGUAGAGUAAGAAGCAGAUCUGUGAACAGCGAUCAGGGGUUUCCAGUAAGUGUGUGUGGUUAUAAUCUACUGCUUCUAUGGUUCAGAGAUUUGUGGUAAGAGUAUGGUUGCUGAGAAUAAGCGAGUUCCCACACUUUCAAACUUUUCUCCUGUUCUUGAUACUUGCCUUGUUCGAGGACAAACAAGGAUCUAAGUCUGGGAGAAUUGAUAUAUGGUGUUUUUCACAUCAUUGUAUAGGUGUUUUUGUAUUGAUUCGAGUCCUUAAUCCGAGUCAGUCUAGUCCUUUUUGAUCUUUUACAGGUCUGGAGUUGGUAGAAGAAUGAAGAGAGCGUGCUUGAAGAGAAGCUGUCCUUUUGGAGCAUUUUGCGGAGAACACUCAAGACGAACAGUCCCUAGANNNNNNNNNNNNNNNNNNNNNNNNNNNNNNNNNNNNNNNNNNNNNNNNNNNNNNNNNNNNNNNNNNNNNNNNNNNNNNNNNNNNNNNNNNNNNNNNNNNNNNNNNNNNNNNNNNNNNNNNNNNNNNNNNNNNNNNNNNNNNNNNNNNNNNNNNNNNNNNNNNNNNNNNNNNNNNNNNNNNNNNNNNNNNNNNNNNNNNNNNNNNNNNNNNNNNNNNNNNNNNNNNNNNNNNNNNNNNNNNNNNNNNNNNNNNNNNNNNNNNNNNNNNNNNNNNNNNNNNNNNNNNNNNNNNNNNNNNNNNNNNNNNNNNNNNNNNNNNNNNNNNNNNNNNNNNNNNNNNNNNNNNNNNNNNNNNNNNNNNNNNNNNNNNNNNNNNNNNNNNNNNNNNNNNNNNNNNNNNNNNNNNNNNNNNNNNNNNNNNNNNNNNNNNNNNNNNNNNNNNNNNNNNNNNNNNNNNNNNNNNNNNNNNNNNNNNNNNNNNNNNNNNNNNNNNNNNNNNNNNNNNNNNNNNNNNNNNNNNNNNNNNNNNNNNNNNNNNNNNNNNNNNNNNNNNNNNNNNNNNNNNNNNNNNNNNNNNNNNNNNNNNNNNNNNNNNNNNNNNNNNNNNNNNNNNNNNNNNNNNNNNNNNNNNNNNNNNNNNNNNNNNNNNNNNNNNNNNNNNNNNNNNNNNNNNNNNNNNNNNNNNNNNNNNNNNNNNNNNNNNNNNNNNNNNNNNNNNNNNNNNNNNNNNNNNNNNNNNNNNNNNNNUUUGUCACAGCUAAUGAUCCAGGUGCAUGACCAGUAGACAUACUCGGAGCAACGCACAAGGACCAUUGCAUCAGCUCACCAACGAAGAACUAGCGAGAUUAGAACGUCAGAACCGUCAACUGCCUAGACCUACAAGCACCAACAUGGGCGAUCAUCAGGAUGAUCUUACUGCUGCGUUUGCACUCAUGCAACAACAGAUGCAGCAGAUGCAGCAAACUAUCCAAGCGAACGCUGCAAACCAACGUAAUGCACCGGAGGAAGCUGAUCAGAUUGGCCAAAGGAAUCUCUUGCGUAAUCUACCUGCUACGCGAUCCGCCAUCAACCCUCCACCUUGCGCUAGGCAAGACUUUGAGAUCAAGCCCGCCUUGAUAGGUCUGGUGCAGAGGAAGAUCUUCAAUGGACUUCCUGCAGAAAUUCCGAUGGACCACAUUGAAAACUUUGAGAAGAUGUAUGGGUUCACUAAGGCGAAUGGAGUACCACCAGAUUACAUCAAGUGUACCAUGUUCCCUUUCUCUCUCGAUGGGAAGGCUGCUCGCUGGUUAGAUUCCCUACCCACUGGAUCGCUCACCACAUGGGAACAAGUCAGAUCCUCUUUCUUGAGCCAUUUCUACACGAAGUCAAAGACAGCAGCUCUGAGACAGAAGAUCGCCACCUUUAAACAGCUGGUAGAUGAGCCGUUCUGCGACGCUUGGGAGCGAUUCAACGUCUACCGCAGGGAGUGCCCACAUCACGGUUUUGAAAAAGACUAUCUACUCGGAGUGUUCUACGAUGGAGUAGGUUGGGAGUACAGGAAUGCUUUAAACUCAGCCAGUAAUGGAAAUUUCAUGACCCAAUCCACUCAAGGCGCUUUCGCGCUGAUUGAGAACAUGGCCUCAAGCUCAGCUGACAGCAACCGAGAGACUGACCGCACCCAAAAGGUGAACAGCAUCGACAAUAGCAAAAUAGAUGAGCUCUCUGCCAAGGUCGAUCAACUGAUAAAGAUUAAUCAGAACCAUGUCUUCAUCAUGGAAGAAUCCCCUCAGGAUAAAGGAACCACAUACACUACAUCAGAAGCAGACCAGGCGACUGAGGACAAUCAUGAGGUUAGCUAUGUGAAUGGACAAGGAUGGCAGUACAAGAACUAUCACCCGAACCCUAACGUGAGGAACAACCCCCACCUGUUCAACAACCCUAAACCCGAUGGUAACGCAGAAAAUGCUCAAGGCAAUCAGGUUCAGAACAGUGGCUACCAACGGGGGUAUGGAAAUCAAGGAAGAACAUUUGUCCUCAGCCCAGCUCAGAAUACUCAGUUCCACAACCAGAAACAACCGACUAACCAGCAGCCUGGACAGCCUGCUCAAACUGCUCCACAAGACGAGAUGAAGAGUCUUGCCAAUAUGAUGAGCCAGCUGCUCCAAGGACAGCAGAUCCAGGGAAAAGCACUGAAUCAGGUCACAAACGACAUCAAUACCCGAAUGAAUCACAUGUUCAAUGACCUGAGUGCCAAAUAUGAUAAUGUCUCGAGCCAUAUGAGGCAAAUGGAUAUUCAGAUUGCUCAGACUGCUGAGAGUGUGAAGAGACAGCUGAGAGUGUGAAGAGACAGCAAGGCACUCUUCCUGGAAAAACAGAUAAAAAUCCCAAGGAGUGCAAUGCAGUCGCGCUUAGGAGUGGGAAGCAGUUAACUGAUCUGGCACCCAAGAGAUUCACAACAGCUGAAAAAGGGAAGCAGAAAGAGUCAGAACAACCACCAGUAACCGCACCAACAAGCGAGGAAGAAGCAGGGUUUCCUGCUAAACAUACUCCAACCACUACAGAGCAGCCUACUGUGGUUGUUCGCCCAGCUGCAGAACCUGUACCCACCCGUGACUAUGUGCCUAAGGUUCCGUACCCUGUUCCUGCUAAGGCCACACGCAAGGACAAGGAGGAGAUGAAAUGUAGGAAGAUGCUGGAAGACUUAACAGUCAGACUCCCUCUCAUGAGUGCAAUCCAGAUGAUGCCAUCCAUGAGUAGCUUUGUGAAAGGACUUAUUUCUGGAAAGAUAACCGAUGACAGUGAGUUCAUGGUGGUCUCAAAAGAGUGCAGCGCUGUUCUCCAGAACAAAAGGAUCAAGAAACUGGGUGACCCUGGAAAAUUUGUCUUAUCCAUCCAAAUAGGGAGAACAGUCUUCUCAUGUUCGCUAGUCGAUCUGGGAUCGAGCAUCAACCUCAUGCCAUACUCUGUGGCUAAGCGCCUUGGAUUCACGGAUUUCAAACCUACCAGGAUGUCCCUAGUGUUUGCUGAUCGCUCAGUGAAAUCUCCGGUCGGAAUUAUCGAGGAUAUCCAAGUUCUUGUUGGGAACACGCUUGUCCCUGCCGAUUUCGUUGUUUUGGAACUAGAGGAAGAGUCAAAGGAUCCUCUGAUCCUAGGCAGACCAUUCCUAUGCACUGUCGGAGCUAUCAUAGAUGUCAGACAAGGAAAAAUCGACCUCCACCUAGGAGACAUUGUGAUGAGGUUCGAGAUGAAUCAGAUGCUCAAGAAACCUAUGCUGGAUGGACAAACCUUCACUGUCCAAGAGGAGGGUGAUCCGCUGGAACCAAGUGAUCAGAUGAUUGAGGAGAUCCUUACAGAUGAUCCGCUGGAACUAGCCUUGACUAGAGCUGAAGCAGAACAGAAUGUCCAGAACAUCGACGCUGAUGGGUACGCUAAGAUGAUGGACUCCGCCAGAAUCAUGGAAAGAUUAGUGGCAUAUCUCAGUCUGGGGGAGAACAAUGCCUCAGACUCGUCGAGCUCGCCUGUUCCACCAAGUCGGAACAAUGACCCGUGGAGUGAAUCCGAAGCUCCAAAAGUCGAGCUCAAAACACUCCCUAAGGGGCUCAGGUACGCAUUUCUUGGACCAAAUUCUACAUACCCAGUAAUCGUGAAUGCUGACCUGAACAAUGCUGAAACUGCUCUUCUCCUAUGCGAACUUAGGAAAUAUCGAAAGGCAUUAGGAUAUUCUCUAGCUGAUAUACCUGGCAUUUCACCUGAUCUGUGCAUGCAUAGAAUACACCUAGAAGAUGAAUCAAUGACUUCUGUAGAACAUCAGAGGAGGUUAAACCCAAAUCUGAAAGAUGUUGUUAAGAAAGAGAUAAUGAAACUUUUAGAAGCCGGUGUAAUCUAUGCGAUCUCUGAUAGUAAGUGGGUUAGUCAUGUUCAUGUAGUGCCUAAGAAAGGAGGGAUCAUUGUUAUAACAAAUGAAAAGAAUGAACUAAUCCCUACUAGAACAGUAACUGGUCAUCGCAUGUGCAUUGAUUUCCGUAAAUUGAAUGCUGCGACCCGCAAGGAUCACUUUCCACUCCCCUUCAUUGAUCAAAUGCUUGAAAGAUUGGCUAACCACCCUUACUAUUGCUUUUUAGAUGGCUAUUCAGGUUUUUUUCAGAUUCCCAUCCACCCAGACGAUCAGGAAAAGACGACGUUCACAUGUACUUACGGAACAUACGCCUACAGGAGGAUGCCUUUUGGGCUGUGCAAUGCUCCAGCGACCUUUCAACACUGCAUGAUGUCAAUUUUCACUGAUCUAAUUGAAGACAUAAUGGAGGUUUUCAUGGACGAUAUCAGCGUCUAUGGAACCUCCUUUAGUGUCUGUUUGUCAAACUUGUGUAGGGUUCUGAAGCGAUGCGAGGAGAAGCAUCUCGUUCUUAAUUGGGAAAAAUGCCAUUUCAUGGUCAGAGAUGAGAUUGUUCUAGGACAUAAGAUUUCAGAAAAGGGCAUCGAAGUGGACAAGGCAAAGAUCGAUAUCAUGAUGAGUCUGCAGCCACCAACUUCAGUGAGGGGAAUAAAGAGCUUUUUGGGACAUGCUGGUUUUUACAGAAGAUUCAUCCAGGACUUCUCGAGAAUCGCAAGACCGCUCACUAGACUGCUCUGCAAGGAAACAAAGUUUGACUUCGACAGCGAGUGCUUAGCUUCAUUUCACACGAUCAAGGGAGCUCUAGUCAGUGCACCGGUUGUCCAACCCCCAGACUGGGACCUCCCUUUCGAGAUCAUGACAGACGCGAGUGACUUUGCAGUAGGAGCAGUGCUAGGCCAGCGGAAGGAUAAGAAGCUCCAUGUGAUCUACUACGCGAGUAAGACAUUGGAUGAAUCUCAAUGUAGGUAUGCUACAACGGAGAAGGAACUCCUGGCCAUCGUCUAUGCUUUUGAGAAGUUUCGAUCAUAUCUAGUUGGGUCUAAGGUGAUAGUCCACACGGAUCAUGCAGCUCUCAAGUACCUGCUCACAAAAAAAGAUGCCAAACCGCGGCUCCUGAGAUGGAUUCUCCUCCUUCAAGAAUUUGACCUGGAAAUAAGAGACAAGAAGGGGGUAGAAAAUGGAGUAGCGGACCACCUUUCCAGAAUGAAAAUAAACGAUGAUACUGUGAUUGACGAAGAGCAACCAGUGGAACACGUAAGUGCGAUUGGUCUUUGCUAUUCAGAACAACCAAUGCGCAUGGAAACGGCUUGUUCUUCACAACCAGAGCAGUUUGUCGCAGCAAUCCAGAAGCAACAUCCUGAUCUACCGUGGUUUGCUGAGAUUGCAAAUUUCUUAGCCGCUGAAAAAGAGCCUCAGAAGUUCACAGGGAACGAGAAGAGAAAAUUCUUAAGAGAGGCAAGGCACUACUUUUGGGAUGAGCCUUACCUAUACCGACAAUGCAAGGAUGGGAUCUUCAGACGAUGCGUUCCAGAGGCUGAAAUUCCAGGUAUCCUACACCACUGCCACAGAUCUUCCUACGCUGGACACUUCGCCACAUUCAAAACAGUCUCCAAAAUUCUCCAAGCGGGAUUCUGGUGGCCAACAAUGUUCAGAGAUGCUCACACCUUCAUAUCCAGAUGCAAUGCAUGCCAGCGAAUGGGCAGUAUCAGCAAAAGGAAUGAGAUGCCUCAGAAUUACAUAUUGGAAGUUGAGGUGUUCGACUGCUGGGGAAUAGAUUUUAUGGGACCUUUCCCACCUUCUCACAAGAACGAGUACAUCCUGGUUGCAGUCGACUAUGUCUCCAAGUGGGUAGAAGCGAUUGCUAGUCCAACCAAUGACGCACGAGUUGUAACCAAGAUGUUCACCUCCAUCAUCUUUCCAAGAUUUGGAGUACCUAGAGUGGUUAUCAGCGAUGGUGGAAAUCACUUCAUCAACAGAGUGUUCCAAGGAUUACUGAGCAAGAACGGCGUGAAACACAAGGUUGCAACCGCCUACCAUCCCCAAACGAGUGGCCAAGUGGAAAUUUCCAACAGAGAGAUCAAGAACAUUAUACAGAAAACAGUCAAUACCACGCGUAAGGAUUGGUCCAUCAAACUUGACGACUCUCUCUGGGCCUACAGAACAGCCUAUAAAACCCCAUUAGGGACCACUCCCUAUCAUCUGGUCUAUGGCAAGGCAUGUCACCUACCUGUGGAGCUAGAGUAUAACGCAGCUUGGGCAGUCAAGCUGCUUAACUUCGAUAUCAAACCUGCCAAGGAGAGGCGAACAAUUCAAAUCCAUGAGUUGGAGGAGAUUAGGCAUCUGGCCUAUGAGAGCUCCAAAAUCUACAAAGAAAAAACCAAAGCAUUCCAUGACAAACGGAUCAUCAGCAGGAGCUUUGCUCCGAAUGAUCAGGUCUUACUCUUCAACUCAAGGAUAAAGUUGUUCCCUAGAAAGCUAAAAUCCAGAUGGUCAGGACCUUUCACCAUCAAGGAGGUUCGCCCCUAUGGAGCUGUAGUGUUGCUGGACACAAGAGGAGGAGAAUUUGUUGUUAAUGGUGAGCGACUCAAGCUUUACCUUGCUGACACAACAAUAGCUGAAGGUGUAGAAAUACCCUUAAGCGAUCCCCUUCAAGCCUAAUCGGCUCACAAAAGUCAAGCUAGUGACUGAAAAGAAGCGCUUGGUGGGAGGCAACCCACUGGUGAGUGUAAAUAUUUCUUUUAUUUUCUAAAAAAAAAAAAAAAAAAAAAAAAAAAAAAAAUUUUUUAAAAAAAAAAAAAAAAAAAAAAACUAACUUGCAGGAAGAAAAAUCGAGCAUUUCUCAGGAGAACACUCCAGCGCUUGUUCCACUGAUUGUUCCCAGGUAAGUGCUCGAACAAAAAAAAAAAAAAAAGAGAAAAGGAAAAAUGGCCUAUUAAAGGCCCACUAACGGAAAAAUGGCCCUUUAAAGGCCCCCUAACUUUACCCCCCCCCCCCCAUUAUCUCUAACGCCGCAAACCAACCUCAAAGAACCCUAAAUCGAAAAUUUCACUCCUAUUUUUCUUCAUCGAUUUUUGUUCUAAUCUCUUGGAUCCUCUAGAGAUCGGUUGGGUUUUGCAGGAAUCGUCAAUCAACUCAAGGUAACUGCUCAGACACUCUUCCCCUUCGCGCAUCCAAUCCGCGAAUUGAAAGUGUCCCUUUGGAUUCUCUCAUCCCUUUUGUUUCAAGAUUUGAUCUUAGAUUGUAGCUAUCGGUAUCACAAUUGCUACUAGGGUCGAAAUUUGGUUUGAUUAUCAGGGAAAAACAAUUUCAUUGUUAAGAGUUUCUUGAGUAGUUGCGGUUGUAAUAGGUCUAGGUGUUAAUCCUAAGAACUCGAAGGUUGUUCAGAAAUUGAUGGACUUGGGCAAAAAAAAAAAAAAAAAAAAAAAAAUUCGAGAUUGGAAUGUCACAUCAUUUCUAGAACAACCAUUGAGCAGUGCUAAUUUGGAAAUUGAUUUCGUUUUGCAGAUGGCUCCAAAAACAAGGAUUCCGAAAGCACUCAAAGCCUCUCACGGAGCAGCCACGCCUUCUCGUUCCGCGAAUGUUCCAUCCACCUAUCCAUGGCCGAACAAAGCUGAGGGUCAAGCGAUUAACAUCAAUGACCCACUACUCCUUGACUACAAUUGUGAGGGGUGGGACAAGGAAUCCACAGCGAGGUACAACAGGCUUCUGGCAGCAGAAAUCUUGCCCACACGAUUUGCUCACGAGGAGACCUUAGCUGUUCUCGGCCUCGAGUCUGACGUCUUCGACACGCUCCACGUUAUGGGCCUCGCUCCUCUCUGCUACCAAGCCCAAGUUCUCUAUCCUGAUUUGGUUCGGCAAGUGCUCGCAACUGCUCAGAUCACUUACCAGAACCCAACCGCGCCAACGUACGAAAACUGCUCCUUCUCCUUCAUGGCUGAUGGCAAGUUCUGCUCCAUCUCUCUCCACGAUCUAAACGAACUACUCGAGAUCGCAGACACGCCAAGAGAGGUCGCAGUUGAGAAAAAGUUCGCGCCAGCAAACGCCUUUUGGGAUCUCAUUGCGACAGGAAAGUUCACUUCUCGCAAGGCUUAUCAAUCACAAAUCCGGAACCCCACUCUGCGUAUCAUUGCCAAGAUCGUCUCGAACAUCCUCUUUGCAAAGGAACUCACCUCCAAGGUCACAAACGGCGAGCUGCAGGUUCUAUACACAGGGCUCGAGGAUGAAAUCCGUAGAGACAGAGUCAUACCGAUUCAGGCUGUGAAGACUAACCCUGGAUUCCUUCUCAUCUCGAUGCUCACUGAGCGCAAGGAUUCCUUGCUCCGAACCGAAGAUAAGAAAGACCGCUGCGGCAGUAUUCUCACACCUUUGUUCAAACACUUCAACAUCAACCUGGAUUCCUACACGGUUGUUCCUGAGCUCGAGCACAUCGACACCGCUUACUUGAUCACAUGACACAUCCUGCGCGACGAGAGCACAUACAAGUUCGCAGACAAGGACGGGAACACUCUCUACUGCAAGCUCCCUCUUCCUGGGUUAACAGACUUCUCAACCUUGGAAAACAUAGUGUUCCUGCCCGACACAGAACACUUGUGCGACGACCCACGUGCGCCAGUUCCAGAUGCGAAUGCGGCCAGGGAUGAUGUGGAGGAUAUGGCUGCACCUGCUGAUGGUGCUUAUGACCUGGAGGACCUCACAGAUGUUACUGAUGAUCACGCCUACAGGCGUUGGAUGGUGGACUCUCAGAAGAAAAACAACAGCCUCAUGAAGAGGAUCCUCAGAGCACUCACUGGAGGCUGCAUCGGAAGUCAGGAUGGACAGACGACGCAGGGAACAAGGCGCCCAGGCAAAGAACCAGCGGGCACUUCAACUGGAGAAGAGAGACUUCCGAGGAACAGGAGAACAACCGGCCACUCCAGCAGUGGUAAUUCAGACUGAGUCCGAACGGACGAUUCCAAUUCCCUUGUUCUAUCCAUCAAAACUAUUUAUUUACUUGCUAUUUGUUUCUGUUUGGUGUGUUUUAGCCUCCUCCGAUUUAUUUUCACAGCCAGGGAUGGUGUGAAGUAAGUCUGGGGGAGAAACUCUGUACGAUUUUCAUGUUUUUAUUGAGUCAGUCCCUAGGAUCGAGUCAGUCCAGUCAAACUUAUUGUGGUAAUCAGGACCUUAUUUUGUGAUGAUUUCUUAACCACCUCGUGCUUUAACCUUCUUAUUCAGUGACCUUAGCAGUGAUGAAAGACCCACACAUGGACCUGGAACACCCUGACUUAUCUCAUUUGACACUCCGGAAGUUCUCCACCGAUCAGGUUACACUGGGAAGACUCAACUCCACUAUAUCUGAACCUAAUCUGGACUUUAAUUCUUCUUGUUAUGGGCACUAGAUCAGGGAAACGGGACCUAUACUCAGGACUUCUUAUCCUUUAUAUCCAUCUUGUUGUUCCUAAGUAGCUAGCUCAUCUUUAGCUAGUUCCCACCUUGUACCUUAGCCUUCAUUCCAACUUCAGGCAAUUGUUUUUCAGUGUUAUAUGUGAAGAUAUGUGCAAAAAGGUUGGAGAGGAAAGGAUCGACGCAGCCUCUUACUCGUUACUGCUGCAGAAAUUCAAUUAGAAGGGAGAACAAGCAGAUCAAGGGAGCAACUGCUCCAUGACCAAUCAAUCAUGCAAGCAGAGCAGAAUGAUGCGAAUCAGACCCACCAGUGGCCUCCUUAACAUUACAUGUUACCUCCUUCUUCGUCACCGCAACAUCUAUUUUCAUGCUAUUCAUUCAAAAACAAAAAAAAAAAAAAAAUUAUUUUUAGCAUUUUACGAUGGAGAAGGAGAUGAAUUCAAGGGAACACGAGCCACUGGGAAAGUCAAGAAAGAGUUUAGGGUAAUUUUCAGAGAACAUAGAAGGGGGCGAACAGAGCAGUCUGGUAACUGUUCCAGAACAAAGAGCAGCCGUUCGAGAGAAAGCAAAAACGAGUAGAGGCUGUGGACAUCAAUGGAUCCGUUCUCUCUUGCCGUUUUGUGCGAUAUCCUGCAUCCUCUAAGAAAUCGGUAACCCCUAAACACUCUUAGCUCCACUAUAAAAAAAAAGGCAUGUUCCAUACCUAGACCGUCCACCCUGAGUAGCGCCUAUGACAAGAAGCUCACGAAAAUUCUAAUUGAACAAAUGGAGUUUGGUCUCGAAAGUGUCGCUUUUUCAGGUCAAGAUGUAGAGUAAGGAGCCGAUCUGUGAACAGCGAUCAGGGGUUCCCAGUAAGUGUGUGUGGUCCUAAUCUGUUGCUUGUAUGGUUCAGAGAUUUGUGGUAAGAGUAUGGUUGCUGAGAAUAAGCGAGUUCCCACACUUUCAAACUUUUCUCCCUGUUCCUGAUACUUGCCUUGUUCGAGGACAAACAAGGAUCUAAGUCUGGGGGAAUUGAUAUAUGGUGUUUUUCACAUCAUUGUAUAGGUGUUUUCGUAUUGAUUCGAGUCCUUAAUCCGUGUCAGUUUAGUCCUUUUUGAUCUUUUUCAGGUCUGGAGUUGGUAGAAGAAUGAAGAGAGGGUAUUGAUCCAACAUAGACUUUUGCACCUUAGAUAGAAAUAAGAUUCUAAAUUAAUUGAAUAGAUAAUGCUAUGAUAAUAAUAAAAGCAAUGGCCAUUUUACACAAAAACAAAUAAAGGUUAUAAAAUAAUUAACAGAAAAAGGAUUAGAGAGAACCAAAUCGUGACGUCUAGGAACCAAAUCUUGUGAAUAAACAAUGACUUAAAUUUCGAAUUACAUUGAUUAGUUUCUUUCAAAUCAAACAAACAAAAACAUCGGAGUGUAUGGAAGGUAUACAAAUAUUUCUUUUUUUGACUAAAUUAUAUAGAUACAUAUAUAUAUUUUUUUGAGAACUAUAUAAAUAUUUCUUUGUACGAGAGUAUUGAAAUAAGAAGCUGGAGGGGUCCCGUCUCUGAGAUGAUUUUUUUUUUUUUUUUUUUUUUUUUUUUUUAUUAACCAGGUGUUGACAAACCUUCGGCCAGCCCACCACCUAGGUCCGGCGCCAGCCUGCGCCUGUACCGGUUAGGGCCCUAGGCAUGCCUCCCCGCCUGCGAAUCGAACAGCUGACCUCCCUCCCAAAGUUGAGGGGCAGGUACCACUAGACUAUCGAGUCCGGGUCCGUCUCUGAGAUGAUGUUAUUACUAAUUUACUAUGAUCAGCUGUUUAUGAAUUAUGACCAUGUAUAUGACAAUAUGAUCCAUUCUCUGCUCUAUUAGUUCUUCCUCGAGUUUGUUCUUGGAAUGAAGUUAUGUUUUUGUUGAUUGUUGGCCUGUUUUUUUACUUUUUUUUUUUUGCCAGGGUAACUCUUGUAAAAGUUUACUACUAUAUAUAGUACUAUUGUAGAACAACCUCAUAUCAUUGAUGAAAUUUACGGUCUUAGCAAAAAAAAAAAUUAUUUCUUCUAUGAUAAUCAACGUAAUAAUAGUUGUCCCCAGCAUUUUCUGACGUUCCACACAGGCCACAGUUACCGACAUGACUACUUUACUGGCAAAAGAAAGUCUAGCUGAGAUAAAAAACAAAAAGAAAAAAGAAAAAAGUAAAUAUUUGUUAUAUAUCGUUGUCUUCUUCUUAGUCCCACUUUAGUAAUUAGUAAUAUUUUUAUUUAUUUGAAAUAUGAAUUUUGUGAGCGAAAAUGUGUGGUCAAAUGGUUAUAAUCGUGGAUGGAAUUACAUUUCACUAUCGCCAACCACUGUGGAUUCUUGAAAAGUAGACGAUGGUGCCACGUAGCUUUUGGAGUUGGGGAAGUACAUUUGUGUUGGCGCGAAGAUGGGGAAAACGGCUUAUUGGUGCCCGCGCUACCAAACCAGGGAAAAUACAUAUCCAACAAUAUUAACGUACCAAAAUAUUCAUAAAUUAAAUAAAAAUUUAAAUUGCAUACCUAAACUCAUAGUAAAUAGCUAAAAAUAUCUAUAGCCGGUUAUAUGAUGAUUUGGACUACUUUUUUAAUUUUUUUGUAGUUUAGUCCCUAUAAUUCUAUUUUUUUUGUCAAUAUGCCUUAAAUAACUUAAAUAAUCAAAUUUAUCUUUUUUAUAAUUUUAAUUUAAAAAGUACAAUUUUAUUUUUUUAACAGAUUUUAAUUAAAUUUAAAUAAUAAAUUUAAUUAUUUAUGAGAAAUUUAGAUAGUUAUCAUAUACAAUAUAUUAAUUAAUUUAGUUAUCAAAUUAUGUUAUCUACCUUAUUAAAACAUGAGAAUUAAUUAUAAAUAAUCUUACUCAUAUGUAAUAUUUACAAGAAAUACCACUCAAUUUAUAUUUAUAUAAAAUUUUCUUUACAAAUAUAGUCAUUCAAAUUUUAAUCAAUAUAACUAAAAAUACUCUUUAGAAAUUUGAUUUUAAAGUAUAGAUCUUUAAUAAUAUUACCCUUACAUAAUAAAAAGAAAAGAAUGGCUGGUUAACCAAAAAUAGUUUCGAACGCAGCAUCUCAAGAAAAACAAUAUCGCACAAAACCACUAGACCAUAUUACAUUAUUUUUAUUUUGCUACAAAACUAGUAUGUAAUAUUAAUAACACACAAAAAGUUUACAAAACUAUUUCCCGAUUAAUUCUCGUAUAAUUACCAAAUAAUUGAUUCGACGCUAGGUUAGAGUCAAGCGCACACAUUAUGCCUAGUGUAAUUAACAUUGGUUUUGAUAACUACAAACAAAAAUUACAAAUUUUUUAUUUUAUUUAUAUUAUAUAUAUCACGCAAGCACAUGAUAAGAUUUGCAACUAAAAUAACCUAAGAAAAUAUAAAAAAUAUUUUAUAAAUUUUAAGAACUAGUGAGAUUAAAUUAGGCUUUAAAUUAUGAUAGUGUUUUUAUGUUGUUUUCUAUUUAUUUAAAUUUUUUGUAUCAAAUAUUUCAAUAUGAAAUAAUAAUAAUAUAUUUAUAUUAUUAAAUCUAUUUUAUUUGAUAAAAAAUAUUUUUAUUUUAUAUAUCACCAUAUAUUAAAAUUUAUUUCCAAUUUUGAAAUUAUAAAUAAGGCAAAUUUGAUGAUUUUAGUUAUUUGUGGCACUUUACAAACAAAUAAAAUGACAAAAAUUAAAAGAUAAUAAUUAAAAAAAAUAAAUCAAUACAUUUUAAAAUGGACUGACACGUGUCAGUUACGAGACAUGUUUUAGCUAUUUAUUAUGAGUUUAGGUAUGCAAUUCAAAUUCUUAUUUAGUUUAGGAAUGUUUUGGCACGUUAAUAUUGCAUGAGUAUGUAUUUUUCCUGACUUCAUAGUGCGGACAUUAUAAGCCAUUUUUCCGUGUGAAGAUGUCUCAUUAUCUUAGGGUUUAGGGUUGAAAGUGUAGUGUUGGUCAAGUCCGAUUAGGAGAAAUUUAUCAUUGGAUAUGUUUUAGAAGUUGUUCUCAUUGAUUUAUUUUUUGAACAACGAACAUAUGAGUUCAAGCAGUAUGUUGUUUCGAAUAUAUAUUUUAUGUUAACAUCAGAUCUUGUAAGUCGUACAUACACUUCGGAUUUCACAUAAGAGAUAUUUGAACAUAUAUAUGUUUUCUCGUAAUAGUAGAGGUGGUUACAACUGUCGGCAAAAUAUGUAAGAAGAAACUUUAUAUUCUUAUUUCGCAAAAAAAAACUUUAUAUUCUUAGAAUCUUAGAUAACAAAUUAAUCAAUGGUGGUUUUUGUUAAUAAGAGACAUUAACGGAUCGACCCGGUAAGAGGAGGAAGUGAGAUCGAGCCCUAAAUUCCCAAAAUAUUCUUUUUUUUUUGUUCUAAUUCUCGAAACAAUGACUUUUCAAAGUGACCAUAGAACCAUAGAAAAAAAAAUCAUAAAAAGAAGUAUAUCAGCAUUUGAUAAAAAAAAAUAGUAGAAGAAGUAUAUCAGCCAAGCCGCCUGGUCCCAUAACUCUCAACGCUUUUCAUUAGGACGGAAAAGCAGUACUCCAAAUUUUAAAAUUAAGAAUUUUUUUAAUUCAAAUUAAUACAUGUUAAAUUUGAAUAGUAAUAAUUUUAAAGCUUAUAAAUUAGUAUUAAUAGAUGACUAAAUUCCCAACUUCUUCGGUGAUACAUUUUUGUGGUUAUAAUGAAUUAUUAAAAAAAAAAUUGUCGCAUAAAUAUCUAUUCCCUCCGUUUUUUAAUAAGUGUCACUUUAAAAAAUUUCACACAAACUAAAAAAGUGAUUGAAAUGUAUUUAAAUUGUUAUUAAUUACAUUUUUUUGACCAAAAUUAUUUGAGAUAAAUAAAAUUAUUUAUAAAAUCAAUGUAGUUUACAAUUAAUUUUUACCUAAAAGUAAGUAUAAUUUGCAUUAUAAUUAUAAAGUGACACUUUUUGUAUAACAAGAAAAAAUAUUACAAUGACACUUAUCAUAAAACAGAAAUAGUAUUCUAGUAAUAGAAGUAUAUAUUUUUAUUAGUUUUAGCAAAAUUGUUCCUUUUCUGAAUAAAUUUGUCAACAUGGGAUUUUGCGUACAAGUCACUGAAUUGGUAUCAAUAAAGAAAUAUAUCCAAAAACGAUAAAAGGAGUUGUGAACUAAUUUAGUUGUUUUACAUUUGUGUUAGUAGUAGUUUCAUCAUAUCAGUCAAAAUGACACUUAUGUUUGAUAAUUAUUUUAUCAGGAUCAUAUUAAUUAUCUUCUAUAACUAAUAGUCUAAUACCACCAACCGCGGUUCGAUAUUAGGAUCUGACUGGUUCAAACGCAUCGGUUACGGUUGCGGGGGUUUGCGGAUGCGGGUGGUUGUGGUUUCUAACGGUUUUAAGAGAUUUGUACGACUUGUUCUGCGGUUUGAAAUUGGUGCAUUUUCGAGAUACUUGUGACUGGUUAACUAUCAAAUGCAGCAGCGGUUAAAUAAUAAAUUAACAAUAUUUACAUUUUAUAUAAUUAUAAAAAUAUCAAAAUUCAUAAUAUUAUAAUAAAUAUAAAAAUUAUAUUUAGAAAGUUUAGUUUUAAAUUUUUUAAAAUUAUAGAAAUAUUUUUAUUUUAAAAUUUUAAAAUAUUAAUUAAAAUAUAAUAGAUAUAUUUUAGUAUUUUUAUAAUUCCAAUUUAAAAUUUGUAUUUGUAUUUUUGUAUUUAUAUUGUUUUUUUUAAAGAAAAAAAAUUAUCUUCCCGCAACCGUAAACGUUAGUUGGAACCAACUUUUGAAUUUAUGAAGUUUAGAGCAGUUUGAAGGAAUUUAGAGCGGUUUGAGUGAUUGUUGCAAAACGCCAACAACCGCUACCAACCGCAAAAGCUGCGUUUGCGGGUAGCAGGGAAACUAGUCAUACCGUUAGUUAUUGUUUUGUUCCAUCAAGUUUGAUGCUCUCCUUCUCGUUUUAUGAUUUUAACAAAACAUUUUAAAAAGUUUGGUAGUCUCAACUAUACACACACACAUAUAUAUUUUACCCAAUUUUGGUCCAUAAGCUAAAUGGACCAGCAUCGGUCUGGGCAGCGUGACGCGGAGUGUUCGAAGAAAUAGAAGGCCCGAAGAUCGCGUAGUCAAUCCGCUAUAAGAAGAGAUCGAGAGAUACAUAGAAGGACACGUUGAAAACCCUAGAGAGAGCUACACCCAUACUUCGACCUUGUUUUGACCUAGCUUUAGGUAUUUUCUCUUGUCGAUCUCAUUCGUAACGUUCGAUCUCAUUUCAUUCAUUGUAUUCGAUUUUGUUCAUCAAUAAAAUCCAUCUUUGUCUACCGGAAACUGAUUACAUCGUUGUGUUCUAAAGAUAUCGUUGUCUACAUCAUCUUUUCUUCUCUAGAUCAAACUCUCGAUCAUUAUCAAAUACUAUCAAAUACUUAGUGUAGAUUUUAUGAUUUACAAUAUAUAUAUUUAUAUAUAUAUGUAAAUUUAGUUCUCAAAUGGAAGUCCAAAUCUAAAUACUUUUGGUGAUAUAUGAUUAUGAUAGAUACAUUCCCUAAUUUAAACAGUUUCAGUUAACUGGAGGGUGUAUCUAACAGGCAUGAUAGGUAAUGUUAUAUAUGGCUUUAGUGCCUUUAAGAAAUGAAAAGUCUACAACUUAUGUUUAUCUAUGUCCCAGUAAUGUUUGAAAGAUACAUACAUGAGUUUGUACAACAAUUUUUCUUUCUUCUCUUAAUGGUGCAAACUCAAACUUCAAAGUUUUUAUAGAAGUCAUAUUUUGAAUUAUCAUAUUCAUUACAACUAAUUCAAGGAAACCUCAAAUGUCUUUUUCAAAACCAUAAGUAUUAUAAUUAUACAACUGAUUACAAAUUAAACAUUUGUAUAAUUUACAGUCGAACUAAUCACCUGUAAUAAAAUACGUACUAUUUUGAAAAGACACAUUGAUUAUAGAUUGCAUAUUGGGACACAUUCUGAGGCCCGACAAAACUGUCCACGACAAAUAACGAUUAUGUACGUGUUUCCAAGAAAUACUUACAUAUCACAUAUGUUUAUUAGUAUAGACAUUGGUUGAUCUAUCGACGUGUAUUCUUUCUUUUUCAUAUCCUCUGAAAUUACGUGCUUCUCUUUUUAAGUGAUAUUAACAAAAUUACACGUAGUUUAGUAGCUUAGGGGUCGAAUGCAUUUUAAAAAAAAUCAUAUUAAACAAGAAGGCUAUGUUUUUUUUUAUUAACCUAGAGAUAUCGAACCAUGUUGCUUAUGAUUCAUGAAUCCAUCAUGCAAUUGCAAUAUUUCAUGUCUAUCAUAAUCAAGUCUAUGGACAGUAUAUAUUAAUGCUAUUUUUUUCUCUUUUUCCAACAAAUUAUGUUAAGCUAGUCAGUGAUGAUCAUAUCACUCUGUUAGUCCAUGUCAAAAAUCAUUAAUUCCAUUAAUUCCAUUAUAAAUGAAUGUUAAGAGUUUUCACUUCUCCAAAAUUAGUUUAUAUAGAAUUUGAGCAACGUUGUUUUGGAAUUCGUUGAAGAGAGGUUAGGUUUUGUGUUUAAGAAAUACUAUUCAAGCGUUGGAGGCAACACUUUUUUCUACCAUAUUAAACGAUUUUUAACAAAACUUCUAGACUAUAUUUGCGAAGUGAUUUAUACACAUGUCGUCCCUACAAUAAAUUUCGCUGAUAAAAAGAUGACAUGACAAUUAAAAUAAAUGACAUGGUUUUAGAAAAUAGUGACAUGACAUCAUAUUAAUUGCGAGAUGUAAAAUUUUUUUAUAAAAAUUUAAUUUUUUUUGCAGCGAUUUUAAAUAUGGUAAUAAAAAUAACUCAUAUAUCAUCAUUAAUGUCAAUUUUCCAUAUAAAUAUUUAUUUAUGGUAAGCUAUUAAAUAUAUUAAUAAUUCAUAUAUCACAAUUAAAAUAAUAAUAUAUAUGUAUAUAUGUAUCUCACAUUAAUAAAAAUAAACUAAAUAAAGUAACACUAAUCCAAAAAAAUUUGAUAGUUAAAUAUUUAAACAUUAUUUAAAUUUAUCCGUUCAUCUUCAUCAUUUAAAUUAACAUAAAUAUUUUUCAGUUUAUCUAAAACAAACAAAGUCUCAAAUUUAUUAGAAUUUAUAUUUAUAUGUAUAUAUACAUGCAGAAGAUUGUUAUUAUAAGAUUAAUAUAAAAAUCAUAAUUAAGAAAAGAAAAAAAUCGAUUUUAACCUAGGAAGUACCUAACACGUUAAAGAAUGGUCCACGUUAUAUUAUCGUGAGGUCUUUAAAUGCUCUUCUGGAGGCAAAUCUAGUCAAAUAUGUAACCAUUAUUACUCCAAAGCUGUCUUCUUUCGUAGUGGAUCAAAUUUUGGCUACAUUUCAACAAAGGAAUCUAAAUGUAUUAACUAUAUAUGUAAAAUAUUAACAUCAAAGGUAAAUAUUGUCGUGUUAGUUUACAAAUAACCAAACCAGUAUGACGGUGAUACUUUUUGUAAUUUGUUAACGUCUCACCAAGAUAGUCAGCUUUCUUUAAGCAAAAAGAAAAAAAAGAGAUAGUCGGCUUUCAAGCAUAUGUUAAAGAAAUACGAAGUUGUUAAUUUGUCUAUGUCCUAAUCUAGCUGGUUACUUAUCCAAUUCGAACAAAAUAAUUCAACUUUUGUCAUCUAGAUUUUUUUUAUUUAUUGUCAUAUCUUGUUUCUAGACCGAUUUUGUUAAAUAAUUUUAUUUUAUUUUGACGGUAGAUGAACGUUGGCAUUUUAUUCCAUGACCAUCCUCAUAUUUACAAAAGAUCCAUCGUAAUAAUUCCUCUUCUUCUUUUCUUUGUUGUUGUUGUUGUUUAGGUCUCAUGUUAGUUUUUUUUGACAAAAGGGUCUCAUUGUUAGUUACAUAUUAACUUUUUAUUCUCUUGCGUAUUUCACAGUAUAUAACUAAAAGUAAUAGAGGGGAAACGUGUUCUAAACUUAAUCAAAGAAAACGUGAGGCAAAACUCCAAAUCGAAAAUUACAGAAUCACUGACACCGGCAGGAGCAAUAUUCGUAUGUAUGACAGACCACGUUCUCUCUUAUUACAUUUCAAACAAGCCGCCUUGAGUCAACGCGUUAUUUGAUUUUACUCAUAUACUUAUUAAAAGAUACCUUCUGUUAUUUAUUUGAACAAAAUAUAGUGAUUAGAAAACUAACACUUGCAUGAUUAAUUGUAGUUGAUGAAAAGAAAGAUAUAAACGACUGUAGAAAAUGAUGUAAGUUCAAGCUUUAUAUGAACAUCUUACGUACGUUAUUCAAUGUAGGUUUACAUGUUUCAUAUUAGUGUCGAUAUAGGUCCACUAUAGAUGGAAAACCAUAAUAACCAUAAUUGUAUCUUAUUAUAAACACAAACUAAAUUGUGAAGUUUUCGCCUCCAUUGUAAAUUUGGUAUACCUAAUUAAGGAUAUAUAUCCAAUAGAAACUGAUUUCUAGGCUUUGGCCAAUAUUGCGUGAACUGCAAUACUGUUGGUAUACUUCGCAUUCUGAUUAAAGACGAAUAAUUACAUUGAGUUAACAUUAUUUAUACAGAAUAUUGGAUUGAUUACAUUUCGUAACAAAAGUAAAAAUGAAGAAUAGAUGUGGUAACCAUCUUUGACUAGUAGCAACUAGCAAGUAGGUGAGUUCGAGUAACACUUUUCGCUAAAUCUAGCGGUAUGCGAUUAUUGACGUAUAUAUUCAACUCUAUCUGUGAAAAAGAUGUGGCUGGUUUAUUGCCGAAAACAGUUUAUGCAUUAGGAAGAUCAUACUAGCUCAAACUUCAACAAGAUUGGAAAUGGUUAAACUAAGUAACCUCGACUUCGAGUACUCAAAAUGAAUUUUGCAAAUACUUUAUCUAAAGCAUUGAAUGUAAAGAUAUUCAUUUCCCAUUUUUCAUAAGGACUUAUUGAAGGAGCCAAGAAGAAAAUAUCAGAAAAAGAAGAUGCAUAUGUACUUUAACAAAAGAAAAAAAAACAGAUGCAUGUAACCGAAAAAAGAAAAGUAGAAAGAGGGGGAGAAUUUAAUAACUUUGUUGAGUAACAUACAUGAUAAAUCCUAAAUAUAGGGGUUGGACCAUUUUUAUUAAAUUUUGGAUCAUAUCAUGAAAUUAUAUUCGUUGGUUUUAGCUCGACGUUCACAUGGUGGAACAACUACAAAUGUGUAACAUCUUAAAUAUGAACACUCUACAUGUCCUAAAAGUAUAACAUGCUAAAAUAAAAUAUUUUUUCAUGUGUUGUUAGAGUGAUGUUUGAACAUGUAACGUAGUCAGAGACCAUUCUCUUUUGUUUACCGUUUUAACUUAAAGUGACCAUCUAUUUUCUAUCACGACGUUCUACAAGUAUUACUUAUAUGCGUUUAUGGCAUUGUUAUAUAACUGUUCUCAAGUAUAAUGUCUUUAUAAAGAAGUAUCAAAAGGAGCUUUGUAAAAAUCAUAAGGUUUCAGAAAAAAAAGAGACUCUAGAUCCAACGUUAUAAGAAAAUCACGAGUACGUUGUUCGAACAUGGAGAACAUGUCAAUCAUUGACGGCUUAAUAUAUAAUGAUAAUUAAAACUUUAAUUAAAAAAAAAUAAAUAUACAUAAUGAUAGUAAUUAUAACAAUAACGAAAAUCGGAGAGACCAAUAUCAGUUCGUUCUCUAUAAUAUUUAAUAUAUGUUCGUUGUACAGAACUGCUUGUACUUUUUACGUUGCUUAAUUUACAAUUUUUCAGUGAGGUAUAUCAAUGUCAAAAAGUGAAACUGAAAACAGCUAUAUAAAGGGUGUGAGCGAAGACUCUAAGAGCAUAAACCAAAGCAACAAAACAAUCAAUGGGGUCUCCAAUGGCCUCUUUAGUAGCAACUUUGCUUGUCUUGACAAUCUCUCUCACCUUUGUAUCUCAAUCAACCGCUAACUACUUCUACUCUUCUCCUCCACCUCCGGUUAAACACUACCAAUACAAAUCUCCACCUCCUCCUGUUAAGCAUUACUCUCCCCCUCCAGUUUACCAUUCUCCACCACCACCUAAAAAACACUACGAAUACAAAUCCCCUCCUCCUCCGGUCAAGCAUUAUUCUCCACCACCGGUUUAUCACUCUCCACCACCACCAAAAAAGCACUACGAGUACAAAUCCCCUCCUCCUCCGGUUAAGCACUACUCUCCACCACCGGUUUACCAUUCUCCACCACCACCAAAGAAGCACUAUGUGUACAAAUCCCCUCCUCCUCCGGUUAAGCACUACUCUCCACCACCGGUUUACCAUUCUCCACCACCACCAAAGAAGCACUAUGUGUACAAAUCCCCUCCUCCUCCGGUUAAACACUAUUCUCCUCCUCCUGUUUACCAUUCUCCACCACCACCCAAGAAGCACUAUGUGUACAAAUCUCCACCCCCACCUGUUAUGCACUACUCUCCCCCACCAGUCUACCAUUCACCACCACCACCCAAAAAACAUUACGUAUACAAAUCUCCUCCUCCUCCGGUUAAACACUACUCACCACCUCCAGUUUACCAUUCCCCACCCCCACCUAAAAAGCAUUAUGUCUACAAAUCUCCUCCACCACCGGUUAAACACUACUCUCCUCCCCCGGUUUACCACUCUCCACCACCACCAAAGAAACACUACGUGUACAAAUCACCUCCUCCUCCAGUUAAGCACUAUUCUCCACCUCCAGUUUACCACUCUCCACCACCACCAAAGAAACACUACGUGUACAAAUCACCUCCUCCUCCAGUUAAGCACUAUUCUCCACCUCCAGUUUACCACUCUCCACCACCACCAAAGAAACACUACGUGUACAAAUCCCCUCCUCCCCCGGUUAAGCACUACUCCCCUCCUCCAGUUUACCAUUCCCCACCCCCACCAAAGAAACACUACGUCUACAAAUCUCCUCCUCCUCCAGUGAAACACUACUCUCCCCCUCCGGUUUACCAUUCCCCACCACCACCAAAGAAACAUUACGUGUACAAAUCCCCUCCUCCUCCAGUUAAACACUAUUCCCCACCACCGGUUUACCAUUCUCCACCACCACCAAAGAAGCACUACGUCUACAAAUCCCCUCCUCCUCCGGUUAAGCACUACUCUCCUCCUCCGGUUUAUCAUUCCCCACCACCACCUAAGAAAAAGUACGUAUAUAAGUCACCUCCUCCUCCAGUCCACCACUACUCUCCCCCACACCAUCCUUACCUCUACAAAUCUCCUCCUCCUCCAUACCACUAUUAGAAUUCUCUGUCACGGUA